GUAACAAGGUCUCCGUUGGUGAACCAGCGGAGGGAUCAUUACCGAGUACUAUAACUCAUAACCCUUUGUGAACCUUCAUACCUGUUGCUUCGGCGGCGCGCCUCCCGGGGCGUGCCCGCCGGCAUUAUCAGAAUCUCUGUUCGAACCCGACGAUACUUCUGAGUGUUCUAAGCGAACUGUUAAAACUUUCAACAACGGAUCUCUUGGCUCCAGCAUCGAUGAAGAACGCAGCGAAACGCGAUAUGUAAUGUGAAUUGCAGAAUUCAGUGAAUCAUCGAAUCUUUGAACGCACAUGGCGCCUUCCAGUAUCCUGGGAGGCAUGCCUGUCCGAGCGUCGUUUCAACCCUCGAGCCCCCGUGGCCCGGCGUUGGGGACCUGCCCAGGCAGUCCCCGAAAACCAGUGGCGGACCCGACGGGCCCUUCCUUUGCGUAGUAACAUCUGCCUCGCAUCGGGAGCCCCCGGGCUAUCCGGCCUCUAAACCCCCCUCAAGCCCGCUCCGGCGGCACCAAGGUUGACCUCGGAUCAGGUAGGAAUACCCGC
rnacentral:rRNA from 1 species